UCACGACCUGAACCGAAGGCAGAAGCUUAACGACUGAGCCACCCAGGCGCCCUGAAAAUUAUUCUUGAGCCUUACAACCUAAUUGAAUUUGCCUUGCUAGCUUUGGGGCUUGCCAGAGACCCACCACCCCUCUGUGCUUUCUGAUUUGUUCCCUGCGGCAUGGGAAUCUCUGUCCUAUGCCUGUCCCACCGCUGUAUUUUCGAAGCGUGUAACUUGUCUGGUUUCACAGGCUCACAGCUGGAGAGGAAUUCAGCCUCAGGUCUCACUCAUACCUGAUUUAAAUGAUACCCAGAACCUGCCCUCUGUGUGUGCAGCCCAGUGAGCAAGAGCUCCUCUCAAGGGAGGUAUCUUAUCUAUUUGUGAUAAAUAAAUGAAAUCUUAAAAAAAAGAAGAAGAGGAAGAGACACCAGAACGCUCUGACUGCAUGUGUACAGAGAAAACACCAUGUGAGGACACAGCAAGAAGGUGGCCAUCUACAAGCCAGGAAAAGGCUCUUACCAGGAACCCAAUUUGUCAGCACCUUGAUCUUGGACUUCUAGCUUCCAGAACUGUGAGAAAAUACAUUUCGAUCAUCUAAGCCACCCAGCUUGUGGUAUUUUGUUAUGAUGGCUCAAACAGACUAAUACAGGAUAUAUAUGAGGACUUUCUGUCUUUUCUACCUAAAUGGUCUGCAUACCUAGAACUUCCCUAAGAAAUAAAGUCUAUUAAAAUCUUUUUAAAGAUUUUAUUUAUUUAUUCAUGAA